CUCCUCUCGACCAAUCAGAGUCGAGUAAUUUUGUUGAGUGUACUAUAAACAAGAAAAAAAAAUUAGCCGGAAUUCCGAGAUUCACGGACCGGAAGCUAAGUCAAGUCGGUUUACAGCCAGAGCCUCUCUUUUUCCGGUGCUGAGGAAGAAUAACGUGGGCUCUUGGUAAGAGGAACGACCAAAAUAUAUAGUAUAUAUCAAUAGCUUGGGCUACCUGUGGUCGAACCAUAAGGAACGCGGGCGCGCGGCGGGCUCAGACUUAAAUUCAAAGUUGACCAAAUUAUUCAUGCAGUCAGCUGUAAAAAAAACUUCAAUUUGAAAAGAAUUAUUUACCAACUUCGCCUUAUUCUGGAUCAGGAAAAGUGAACUAAGAAGUGAAGAAGGGAUUUAAACGCAACACAGGCACAGAUCGAGUUUAACGGUCUCCUCGAACUCACCAACAGCAGAUAACAAUGAAAGAACUACGAGAUCAACGCUUCUUGUAGAGCACCCAACACUUCACACAACCAAUUCGCGGUGAACACCAUUGGUAUGAUGAUAGGUUAGGAGGAUGUCGAAGAUCGGGCUCCCUGUUUAGGUGACUAGAGGCGAAGGCCUGGAGAGAAUUCCUUUUUUACACAGGAAUACCAGUUCUGGGAAAACCACUGAUUGAACAAGUUCUGAAAUGACAUGAGCAAGUAGACACAAAGGAAAAACAAGAGGAAUGGCCUACACAAGACACCGACGACAAGUUCUUCCAUAAGGUUUCCAAGCAAAUCCUUUUAACAGUUGAUAGAUAAUUAAAUGGUACAAGUACUCCGUUAAUUAAAGCUAAGUCAAGAUGAAUCACGUCAAAACGAAGUAAACUUGCCUUGUACUUCAAAUAUAAUAAUCAAAUYUGUAACUCAAAACUCUCAGUUUAAAGAGAUGUUAGCUGGCCUCUAACAUUUGAUUUACAAUCUUUUUAUCUGCGAUAUUUAUAAURACCAAAAUAGAAAAUAGGACAAUAAUGGCGGCGAUUUCAAAGCCAUGAGACCGCCAUGCCGAAGUGAGAUAGUGAACGAAUAAGAACUGCUAACAUUCUGUUAUACAAGACAUGAAACAGUAAAUACAUUGAUCCAGUUAUCAGCUACAUUAGAUUUUUUUGUAAUGGCGGUAAAUGGAGUUGAUAGAUGUAAGCUGCGCAUUAAUAUCAUGAAGUGAUUCUUUUGGAAGCACCGACCGUGCUGAUGAAAAUSAAACACAAACGAGUCAAACUUUGGUUAUAAAUUUGCAAUAAAGCAAUCAGUCUGAGGUAUACCUCAGUGUAUAAAAGAUACAUAUUGGCAACAAAAGAGCGGACGGGUUGAA